AGAUGGCGACCGGCGCACGGAUGAGUAACACGUAUCCAACCUGCCGAUAACUCGGGGAUAGCCUUUCGAAAGAAAGAUUAAUACCCGAUGGCAUAAUAGAACCGCAUGGUUUGAUUAUUAAAGAAUUUCGGUUAUCGAUGGGGGAUGCGUUCCAUUAGGCAGUUGGUGGGGUAAUGGCCCACCAAACCUUCGAUGGAUAGGGGUUCUGAGAGGAAGGUCCCCCGCAUUGGAACUGAGACACGGUCCAAACUCCUACGGGAGGCAGCAUG
rnacentral:rRNA from 1 species